rnacentral:rRNA from 1 species
UACAGAGGUCUCAAGCGUUGUUCGGAAUCACUGGGCGUAAAGGGUGCGUAGGCGGUCGGGUAAGUCUGAUGUGAAAUCUCACAGCUUAACUGUGAAACUGCAUUGGAUACUAUCCGGCUCGAGGAAUGGAGGGGAGACUGGAAUACUUGGUGUAGCAGUGAAAUGCGUAGAUAUCAAGUGGAACACUAGUGGCGAAGGCGAGUCUCUGGACAUUUCCUGACGCUGAGGCACGAAAGCCAGGGGAGCAAACGGG